GAAACUGUCAUAUUAAGCACUGCCCCAGCAUCAACUGGUACAAGGAGGAGGCACGAUAGCGAAGUGUAAGGUCCUCUCAAGCAGUGAGAGGAGCCAGGGUUGAAGAAUGCGUAUUUAUCGGCAGAGUGGGGUUCGUUUAGCAAGCAAUCUUGUUGCUUGAAAGCACACACAACACUCAAUAGGAAUUUGAGUGUGAAAGCAGUCUGCUCAUGCCCAGCGGACCAAUUUACGAUGUCUUUGUCGCUGAUGUUCGUUAAGCAGGCCACAUGGAUU
rnacentral:misc_RNA from 1 species